rnacentral:rRNA from 1 species
CCUACGGGUGGCUGCAGUGGGGAAUAUUGGGCAAUGGGCGCAAGCCUGAUCCAGCAACGCCGCGUGAAGGAAGAAGGCUUUCGGGUUGUAAACUUCUUUCAUCGAGGACGAAACAAACGAUGGUACACAAUGAAUACGCCACGGCCAACUACGUGCCAGCAGCCGUGGUAAUACGUAGGCGGGAAGCGUUAUGCGGAUUUACUGGGUGUAAAGGGGGUGUCGGCGGGACUGCAAGUCAGAUGUGAAACCCAUGGGCUCAACCCAUGGACUGCAUUUGAAACUGUAGUUCUUGAGUGAAGGAGAGGCAAGCGGAAUUCCGUGUGUAGCGGUGAAAUGCGUAGAUAUUCGGAGGAACACCAGUGGCGAAGGCGGCCUGCUGGACAGUAACUGACGCUGAGGCGCGAAAGCGUGGGGAGCAAACAGGAUUAGAUACCCGAGUAGUC